rnacentral:rRNA from 1 species
UGGGGAAUAUUGCACAAUGGGGGAAACCCUGAUGCAGCGACGCCGCGUGAGCGUAGAAGGUUUUCGAAUCGUAAAGCUCUGUCCUAUGAGAAGAUAAUGACGGUAUCAUAGGAGGAAGCCCCGGCUAAAUACGUGCCAGCAGCCGCGGUAAUACGUAUGGGGCGAGCGUUGUCCGGAAUUAUUGGGCGUAAAGGGUACGUAGGCGGUCUAUUAAGUCAGGUGUGAAAGCGUGAGGCUUAACCUCAUUAAGCACUUGAAACUGAUAGACUUGAGUGAAGGAGAGGAAAGUGGAAUUCCUAGUGUAGCGGUGAAAUGCGUAGAUAUUAGGAGGAAUACCGGUGGCGAAGGCGACUUUCUGGACUUUUACUGACGCUCAGGUACGAAAGCGUGGGGAGCAAACAGG